rnacentral:rRNA from 1 species
UACGUAGGGUGCAAGCGUUGUCCGGAAUUAUUGGGCGUAAAGAGCUUGUAGGCGGUUUGUCGCGUCUGCUGUGAAAUUUCGGGGCUCAACCCCGAACUUGCAGUGGGUACGGGCAGACUAGAGUGUGGUAGGGGAGACUGGAAUUCCUGGUGAGCGGUGAAAUGCGCAGAUAUCAGGAGGAACACCGAUGGCGAAGGCAGGUCUCUGGGCCAAUAACUGACGCUGAGAAGCGAAAGCAUGGGAGCGAACAGG